rnacentral:rRNA from 1 species
GACGAACGCUGGCGGCGUGCUUAACACAUGCAAGUCGAACGAGCGGCAACGGGUGAGUAACACGUGGGUAACCUCCCGUCAGAGGGGAUAACACUUGGAAACAGGUGCUAAACCGAUACUGAUGGAUGGACCCGCGGUGCUGUAGCAAGUUGGUGCGGUAACGGCUCACCAAGGCCACGAUUCAUAGCCGACCUGAGAGGGUGACCUGCCACACUGGUACUGAGACACGGCCCAGACUCCUACGUGAGGCAGCAGUAGGGAAUCUUCGGCAAUGGACGAAAGUCUGACCGAGCAACGCCGCGUGAGUGAAGAAGGUUUUCGGAUCGUAAAACUCUGUUGUUAGAGAAGCGGUAUCUAACCAGAAAGCCACGGCUAACUACGUGCCAGCAGCCGCGGUAAUAC